rnacentral:ncRNA from 2 species
CCGGUCGAGAGGCGCUGCGACGGAUCACCUGGUCCGCCACGCUCGACCGCAGGCCAAGACGACGAAAGGGCGCCUUCCGUAA